rnacentral:tRNA from 1 species
GCUCCUGCAGCUCGACCGGCCGAGCACCCGUUUCGUAAACGGGAGGUUGUGGGUUCGAAACCCACCGGGAGCU